rnacentral:rRNA from 2 species
ACUGGGACUGAGACACCGUCCAGACUCCUACGGGGGGAAUCUAUAGCGAAGCUUGAACGCUGGGCCAAAGUCUGACGGAGGAACGACGAAGGCUGAAGAAGGCCUUCUGGUUGUAAAGGACUGUAGAAAGGAAAGAACCCUCAUGUGAAACACAUGUAUGAAAUUGACGGCACCUAACGAGAAACCCCCGGUAACUACUUGUCCGCAUCCACUGGAAUACAAAAGGUGCGAGGGUGGCCGGAAUCAUGGCGCGAAAAGGGCGCGUUUGACGACUUGAGAGCCUGAUGUAAACUGCGGUGCUUAAUUCCAUAAAGAGAUGGAAACUGUGAGGCUUGAGACAGGAGAGGAAAGUGGAAUUCCUCGCGUAGCGCUAAAGUGCGUUCAUAUAGAUGGAACACCCUGAGAAAAGGAGACUUUCUGAACUGACACUAACACAACGCGCGAAGGCCUGGGGAGCGAACAGGAUUACAUACCCUGGGAGGACCCACGCUGACAAUGACAGCUAUGAGUAGAGGG